CUAGGACCUUUUGUCCUACUUCCAAUAUACGGUCUCUAGCUCCCUUAUCGUACCAGUACUUCUGCCGUUGUUGGGCUGUCCGCAGGUUCUCCCGAACCGUUUCGGUCAGAGCAUGCAGACGGUCCCUCAACUCUAGUACAAACGUGACUAUAGGGGUACCUGUGUGUUCCAUGCCGCCUUCAUAAUGUUCACGUACUAGGUCCAGGGGUCCCUGGAC